CGGCAACAGCUCAAAUUUGAAAUCUGGCGCAAGCCCGAGUUGUAAUUUGUAGAGGAUGCUUCUGGGUAGCGACCGAUCUAAGUUCCUUGGAACAGGACGUCAUAGAGGGUGAGAAUCCCGUAUGUGACCGGCCCGCACCCUUUACGUAGCUCCUUCGACGAGUCGAGUUGUUUGGGAAUGCAGCUCUAAAUGGGAGGUAAAUUUCUUCUAAAGCUAAAUACCGGCCAGAGACCGAUAGCGCACAAGUAGAGUGAUCGAAAGAUGAAAAGUACUUUGGAAAGAGAGUUAAAAAGCACGUGAAAUUGUUGAAAGGGAAGCGCCUGCAACCAGACUUCGUGGCAGUGUUCCGCCGGUCUUCUGACCGGUCUACUCUCUGUCGCGAGGCCAUCAUCGUCUGGGCCCGCCGGAUAAGACCGGAGGAAUGUGGCUCCCCCUCGGGGGAGUGUUAUAGCCUCUGGUGAUGCGGCGAGGCUCGGGCGAGGUCCGCGCUUUGGCAAGGAUGAUGGCGUAAUGGUUGUCGGCGGCCCGUCUUGAAACACGGACCAAGGAGUCUAACAUCUAUGCGAGUGUUCGGGUGUCAAACCCCUACGCGUAAUGAAAGUGAACGGAGGUGGGAACCGCAAGGUGCACCAUCGACCGAUCCUGAUGUCCUCGGAUGGAUUUGAGUAAGAGCAUAGCUGUUGGGACCCGAAAGAUGGUGAACUAUGCCUGAAUAGGGUGAAGCCAGAGGAAACUCUGG
rnacentral:rRNA from 1 species